rnacentral:tRNA from 1 species
GUUAUUGUAGCUUAACAUUAAGCACAGUAUUGAAAAUACUGAAAUGAGUGUAAACACUCCAAAAACA